AAUGAGUGUGUUGUUUUUAUUCAGUUUCAUAAUUUUACAAUUGGAGAAAUAUUCCUUUGAAAUACAAACUACAGAAAGCACAGCCUGUUUAAAUAUUAUGAACUGGCGGCGUAUGGGUUAACAGAAGUUAAGAAAAACUGGCUAAUAAAUUAAGUCAAUUUAUUAUCAAUACUGAAGUAUUACAAAUAAAAUGUACUCUAUGUACAUGAGGGGUUCUUCCAUGCAGAAUAUUAGAGACCUAAUUGAUAUGCAUCAGCCAGAUGAUUUUCAAGUUAAUAUAAUUCUGAAAAACAAUCUAAAGUUAAAUAAAUAUUCAACUGGUAAAAACUACAAAUAAUCUGUUUAACAAUAUUUUAAGGCACUACAAUGGGAUGGUCAGCAUCUUCUCUCUAGUGGGAAGAAUUUACAGCUCUGGGUCAUGAUGGUUGCUAAGGAAAUAGCACUUUACCACGAUUUGUGUAUCUUACAGACUGAUGAUCAGGAAGUGCGGACAUCCGUAUUUCAUGACCUUGAUAUCUCAUUACAGGCAAGAGGUGAUGGCCACUGCCAACUUCCUGGUUUCUUCUUUAAACAAGGAACAUUUAGACAUCUCCAACAUAUUCUGGUACAGUGAUAGAAAAACAUCCCAUAUACUGAAGGGGCUUCUUUUCAGCCUACCUAUUUAUUUUUAUUUUAUUUUUUUUAGUUAUUGGUACAAAACUUCAUAGUUAUUUCUGUAAAAAAAAAAAAUUAAAAGACUUCUAAUUAAUGAUGUUGGUGAUCAAUAAGAGUAACUAUUAAAAACUUCAUAGUAUUCAUAAUAAGCCCCCGGUUUGGUGAUUAGGUAGUUUUUAAAAUAUAUAUUUGACUUCUCCUUGAGAAGAAAUGUGUAAGCAGUUUUAUAUAUUUAAGGUGUGUUUUUUUUUUUAACUUAGAGAUUUUAAGUACAUACAAAUACACUUACAGAUUGUGCCAUGUCAUUUCUUUCCUUUCAAGGGAAUAUUAUAUGCAAAGCUUAUGUCAUCUGAAACAGCCAUUUUAGAUUAUGUUUCACAUUUCCCCCUUGUUGAAAUAGCUAAGUAAGAGUCUUACCAGACUUCCAGUUCUGCUUAACAAAACUUUAUUGUCUUUUUUAUGCCAGGUACCUUGCUGCUUUCCACCAAGACAUGAUAGUUUAAUUCCUUCAAAUCUAAUAAUCUUCACUGCUAAUAUCUUAGUUCAGGGUCUCUUACUUCUUAUCUCAGCUAUGGCACUAUUUUCCAGUGAGGUCUUCCUUCUAUAGUAAUCUAUCUGAAGUCCAUAUUCCCCCAUAUUGUUAGAGUGAUUGUUUUACAGACAAAUAUGGUUCUAUCACCCCUUCUCCUCUAUUGCUCAGACUUCCAAUGGCUCCCCAUUGUUUUUGAGACUCUCUUUUUGCAUCUCCAUCAGUGAUAAAAAUAUUCCCCUAAAUAUUAAUUUCUUUAUGCAAUCCUAUUUUACUUAGCUUAACAGAUUUUGUUUUCCAAAGAUAGGCCCACAUAUUCUUAUAAAACCUUGUGACUUCCCCCUCAAGAGCUGGAAUCUAUAUACUGUCCCCUUUCAACUGGUUGAAACUUCUUGGCUACUUCAAAAAUAAGGUGUAGUAUAAGUGAUUACCUAUGAUUCUCAAGGUUAGGGUAUAGAAAUGCCAUGCACUGCUAUUUGUUUUUUUUCCUCUUGCUUAAUCUCAGAACCGAGCCACCACACUGUCAGGAAGCCAAAUGACGGUACUUAGGAAGGAGAGGCCUAGGUGGAGAAGAACAGAAACUUCUAGCCUUUGAUCCUGGCUGAACUCCCAGCCAAUGAACAGCAUCCAACUGCCAACCAUAAACUCCCAUGCUGGUUGACUAAUCCUGUGAAACAAAUGAGGACACAAAGAGAAGGCAACCAUCUGCAAACCAGGAGGAAGGUCCUCACCAGGAACUCAAUUGGAUGACACCUUGAUCUCGAACUUCCCAGCCUGAGAACUGUGAGAAUUAGAUGCUGUUGUUUAGCCACCAGCCCAUUUUUGUUAUUACAGCCCAGCAGUCUAAGAUGCCACACCUAAGGAAGAUUUUGUUAUUUUUUUGUUUCCUUUCUGGGGCUUGAAAACUGCCCCCUGUCAUCGCCUGUAUUCUUCAUAUUUAUAAGUUUUUGGUAAAAACUCUAUUCUCAGCCUUCCAGAAUUUGUUUCUUGAUAUUUAAAGGAUAGACUGUGAAAAUAAAAACAAAACACAAAACCAAAAACCUUCUCUAUCU